UUUUUUUUUCUAAAGAGAGUGGGGGAGAGAGGAGCUGAACCAGAAAACACAUGCCAUCUCCGUCUCUUUCCUCCUCCUUCAUCUUCAACUUAAUCGCUGCGCCCACGAGCAUGUCGUUGCUGUCCUAGUUCAUAGCUUCUUCCUUUUCCUUUGUUUCUCACCGCCGAGCCCUUCUUUUUCCUUCUCCAUUCUGUCUGACGAAGGGUGGCAAGCACGUGAAGAUUUGAGCUGUUGUUGGAAGUCCGAGUAUGUUUCUUCCACCCUUACUCGCAGCAUCAUCCCCUUCUUCCUUCCACUGUCUCUCGCUGCAGAAUUUCUACUUCUCUUGUUCGUUUGUGCUGCUGCAAAUUAUCUCCUCCCCUGUUCUGUGAUUCCACGUGUUGGUUUGGGUGUGCACGUUGGAGUUUUGAUCUUCCACUUCAUUCUUUAUUCUUUUGCAGCAGUGUUGAUCAUUUGCAACUUAGGAGUGGAGAAAAUAAAGAUGCAUUUUCAAGUUGAAAUUAAAGGUUAAGGAGUUCAUUUGAGAUCCACUAGUUGAUGCUAAACCUCCUGCCAAUCAUUGAGAGGCUUACCACUAUGCUGGUUGACUACUUAUUUUUUAAGAGUGCCUUUUCUUUUGAUGUAAAUAUUCAAUUAUAUGUUUUAUUUUGAGAUUAUAUUUUAAGUGCUGCACAUUAACCAUCGGUAGGAUGCUAAUCUAAAAAUUUAUAUCGGUUGUAUGUUGUGGA